GGGGGGAGACCGGAUUCUGGGCUGUUGCUGUGCUCCCGGGCCUGCGCUGUUGGAUUCGUUCUCCCAGCCGCGCAGCCCCCU
rnacentral:pre_miRNA from 1 species